AUUGAACGCUGGCGGAAUGCUUUACACAUGCAAGUCGAGCGGCAGCGCGGCCUUCGGGCUGGCGGCGAGCGGCGAACGGGUGAGUAAUGCAUCGGAACAUGCCCAGUCGUGGGGGAUAACACUUCGAAAGAAGUGCUAAUACCGCAUACGUCCUGAGGGGGAAAGCGGGGGAUCGCAAGACCUCGCGCGAUUGGAGUGGCCGAUGUCAGAUUAGCUAGUUGGUGGGGUAAAGGCCUACCAAGGCGACGAUCUGUAGCUGGUCUGAGAGGAUGAUCAGCCACACUGGGACUGAGACACGGCCCAGACUCCUACGGGAGGCAGCAGUGGGGAAUUUUGGACAAUGGGGGCAACCCUGAUCCAGCCAUUCCGCGUGAGGGAAGAAGGCCUUCGGGUUGUAAAGCUCUUUCGGCAGGAACGAAACGGUGGGCUCUAACAUAGUCCGCUAAUGACGGUACCUGAAGAAGAAGCACCGGCUAACUACGUG
rnacentral:rRNA from 1 species